rnacentral:tmRNA from 1 species
GGGGGCGAUAGGUUUCGACAGGGGCUUGGAUCGCCGGACGGAUGCAUGCCGGGCUUACUCUAUGCAGCUCGUAAAAAGCAGUGAGAAACACAAUUGCCAAUAACAAUGAAUUGGCCCUCGCAGCCUAAGUAAUUAGGUCAUAGCGAGCAUCUCGCCGCAAGUCGCUCAAGCGCGCGGAGUGAGGUGUGACUCAUUUGAGCUGGCGCGCUCCGUGUGCUCAGGCGGAGCGGGCGAGAACAAACUGGGCUAGCCGCGGGCGGGGUCUUCGACGCUUCACUUACCCGCAGGCGGCGAACACGCCGGAGCAAGACCGGCAAAGGAGAAGCGGCUAAGCAUGUAGAGUCUGCCGACGUCGGCCUUUGGACCCGAGUUCGAUUCUCGGCGCCUCCAUUC